GUUUUUAUAAUUUAAUUAAAAUAGUGAUUUUGUAAAUCAACCAUGAAAAAGAAAAUUCUUUAAACA
rnacentral:tRNA from 1 species